AGGAGGAAUAAUUUAGAAAUAAAUAAUUAUUAUAAAUAAGUACGAACCAAUAGCUUUUUUUAUAAUGAUUUUGAAAAAUACUAUAAAUGUAUUGAAAAAGAAUACACUUGUAACGUUAAUGUAAAACAUUACAAGUUUGGGAUAUAUAGAUAUAUUUCACUCGAAGAUUCCAAAUUAUUAGCUCAUAAAUUCGUUGCCCACGAAAAUCAUCAUUGUUUGCUUGUAACACCAUUUACGAUUCGAUUAACAAGAAAAGAAAUGAAAUAAAAUGAGACAAUACAAAAUUUGUAAUCCUUUGCAUAAAAACAUGAUAUAAAAAAUUAUCAAUUUUAUUAAAAAGGAUUAUCUUCUUAUUUUUAGUUUUAUCUAUUUUCUUAUAUAAUCGGAAUCUCUAUACCGGAAAUCCAAAUUUAAUUUGUCUAGGAAGAGACACGAAGAUACGAAACAUGAUUAAUUCCAUAUUUUCAUAGUCCCAUUUCCCAUUUCCGUAGCAUUCGCGCAUUAAGUUUGAGGUUUAUUGAAGAUAAUAAACAUGUCAAUGUUAGAUUUAAAAAUAACGUGUUCAUAUAAAGCUGUAAAUAUGGGACGUUCAUACAAAAAGUACGUAGAGUACGUAAAGUACGUAGAGGCAUGUUAUUUUACCGUUUGGUGCAAUCUCGUAAAAAUAAUUUAUGGAGAAAAAUAAAAUAUCCAAAUAAAUGUGAUAAAAUUGACAAAGUAUUGUUGAAGGUAUACGAUCGUAUGUUAAAUAAUACGCGUAGUGAAAAGGUUAAAAGACAACGAAAUAACUCUAAAGUACCAUGUAGAAUAAUAUCAGUAGUAUCUUUGGAAACAGUUAAAAACCUAUGUGUUCCUAUAAUGAAAGAUUGGAAAGAGGAAAAUGUUGCAACCUAUGACCCUUGGAAAAGCAUUAAGGAUAGAAAUAUUAUACAAAGCUUAGUAGGAGGCACAAAAGCAGAAAAGAAGCAAUUUAGAUUAGCUGAACAACAAAGAAUCCAAAACCUUGAAAAGAGAGGUAUAUUGAAUUCAUACCAAAAAACCAGCUUUAAAGUUGUAGAUAUUACACAAAUUAUGGAUGAUUAGAAAAGAUUAUACCUAAAUAAUUUUAAAAAUAUUGAUAUUAACAAACUAUCUAUAAGCAACAUUGAUAAAAAGAACACUUUUGUGGUAAAAGAUGAUAAGGCAGGAGUCAUAGAACAGGAAUUAGUACAAAAAUUUAAAAAAUUGGUGCUUUAUCACUUCACAAAAUAAAUUUUUUAAAGCUGACAAACUAAAAGAAUUUAAUAGUACUAUUUACAUUUGUAAGUCACGUUUUCCUAAGACUUUUUAAGAUUAUAAAAUACUAUGAGAUAGGUAUAUAUUU